rnacentral:ncRNA from 1 species
GUUCGUCUUCAGGGGCAGGGUGAAAAUCCCGACCGGCGGUGAUAGUCCGCGAACUGCGUAAGCAGCCGAAUCGGUGAAAAUCCGAUACCGACAGUACAGUCUGGAUAAAGAAGAUAGAG